rnacentral:rRNA from 1 species
AGUAACGCGUGAGGAACCUGCCCUCCAAAAGGGGGACAACAGUUGGAAAACGACUGCUAAUACCGCAUAAGCCCACGGCUCGGCAUCGAGCAGAGGGAAAAGGAGUAAUCCGCUUUGAGAUGGCCUCGCGUCCGAUUAGCUAGUUGGUGAGGUAAAGGCUCACCAAGGCGACGAUCGGUAGCUGGUCUGAGAGGACGACCAGCCACACUGGGACUGAGACACGGCCCAG